rnacentral:rRNA from 1 species
CCCUUAGAGUUUGAUCCUGGCUCAGAACGAACACUGGCGGCGUGUUUAAGACAUGCAAGUCGCACGGAACCAAAUUGGUAGUAAUACUCGUUUGGUUCAGUGGCGCACGGGUGAGUAACACGUGAAUGACAUGCCCUUCAGUGGGGAAUAGCCCAGGGAAACUUGGAUUAAUACCCCAUGGUAUCGCAAGAUUAAAGGUGGCCGCAAGGCUGUCGCUGAAGGAUUGGUUCGCGCCCUAUCAGCUUGUUGGUGAGGUAACGGCUCACCAAGGCUACGACGGGUACCUGGUCUGAGAGGACGAUCAGGCACACUGGAACUGAGACACGGUCCAGACACCUACGGGUGGCAGCAGUCGAGAAUAAUUCACAAUGGACGAAAGUCUGAUGGUGCAACGCCGCGUGGAGGAUGACGGUCUUCGGAUUGUAAACUCCUGUCAUCCGGGAGUAAGACCUGGCUGUGAAUAGCAGACAGGGUUGAUAGUACCGGAAGAGGAAGGGACGGCUAACUUCGUGCCAGCAGCCGCGGUAAUACGAAGGUCCCGAGCGUUGUUCGGAAUCACUGGGCGUAAAGGGAGCGUAGGCGGCGCGGUAAGUCAGAUGUGAAAUCCCGGGGCUCAACCCCGGAACUGCAUCCGAUACUGCCGUGCUAGAGGAUUGGAGAGGUAGCUGGAAUUCUUGGUGUAGCAGUGAAAUGCGUGGAGAUCAAGAGGAACACUCGUGGCGAAAGCGAGCUACUGGACAAUAUCUGACGCUGAAGCUCGAAGCCAGGGUAGCGAAAGGA